CAUCCAGACUCCUACGGGAGGCAGCAGUGAGGAAUAUUGGUCAAUGGGCUUACGCCUGAACCAGCCAAGUCGCGUGAGGGAAGACUGCCCUAUGGGUUGUAAACCUCUUUUGUCAGGGAGCAAUUGGCGCUACGUGUAGCGUUAUCGAGAGUACCUGAAGAAAAAGCAUCGGCUAACUCCGUGCCAGCAGCCGCGGUAAUACGGAGGAUGCGAGCGUUAUCCGGAUUUACUGGGUGUAAAGGGGGCGCAGACGGCGAUGCAAGCCAGGAGUGAAAGCCCGGGGCCCAACCCCGGGACUGCUCUUGGAACUGCGUGGCUGGAGUGCAGGAGGGGCAGGCGGAAUUCCUGGUGUAGCGGUGAAAUGCGUAGAUAUCAGGAGGAACACCGGUGGCGAAGGCGGAUUGCUGGACAGUAACUGACGCUGAGGCGCGAAAGCGUGGGGAGCAAACAGGAUUAGAUACCCCAGUAC
rnacentral:rRNA from 1 species